rnacentral:misc_RNA from 1 species
GAUGAAGAACGUAGUGAAAUGCGAUAAGUAAUGUGAGUUGCAGAAUUCAGUGAAUCAUCGAAUCUUUGAACGCACCUUGCGCUCCUUGGCAUUCCGAGGAGCAUGCCUGUUUGAGUGUCAUUAAAUUCUCAAGACCUGUCUGCUUUUUUGAUAGGUAUUGGAUUUUGGGGGUUGCAGGCUGUUUCAAAUAAAUAGCCUUGCUCUCCUUGAAUGUAUUAGUGGAGAAAAGCCAUUGAACUCCAUUGGUGUGAUAAAACCUAUCAAUGCCAGGAGCAAUAUCACUACUUCUCUCUGCUGUCUAACUGUGACUGUCUGUAUUAAUUAGUAUGGAUGGGGACAACUUGACCAACUUGACCUCAAAUCAGGUAGGACUACCCGCUGAACUUAAGCAUAUCAAUAAGCGGAGGA